UAACCUGCCCAAGAGAUCGGGAUAACACCUGGAAACAGAUGCUAAUACCGGAUAACAACAGAUGAUGCCUAUCAACUGUUUAAAAGAUGGUUCUGCUAUCACUCUUGGAUGGACCUGCGGUGCAUUAGCUAGUUGGUAGGGUAACGGCCUACCAAGGCGAUGAUGCAUAGCCGAGUUGAGAGACUGAUCGGCCUACAUUUGGGACUGAGACACGGCCCAAACUCCUACGGGAGGCAGCAGAC
rnacentral:rRNA from 1 species